CCCCGGCCCCCGCAGCCCGCGCGGGGCGAGCGCGCUCCCGCCCCAGCGCAGCGGGGAGCAGGGAGCAGGGAGCGGGGGGGCGCGGAGCCUCCCAGCCUUUGCCGUUUCCUUCCUGCUGCUGGAGCCGAGCCGGGGGUCCGCGUCAUCCCAGGACUCCGGGAGCUGGCGCCCAGGGCUUCGGGGCCGCGUUUCCGCGCGGCUGGCGCGCCAGUGUGCUGGCGUAGCGAACCCCUGUGCGGGUCGGCAGGAGCAGCGGGGUGCCCCAGGGAAGGCUGGCUCGGGGAGACGGGCUGUGUCCGGUGCCCGAGAAGAGGGAGGAAGGUGCAAAGAGGUGCAGGGCCACCGUUGUCUUGCUGCCAGACACAGUGCGGGAGAGGUUGUGCUAUCACGGUCUGAUGCUGCCAAGAUCCUCCUUUGCCUCUUUCAGCGCGAGUGAAAGGGCCCGAGCCAGAAAUGUGGAGAAAGCCGAGGGGUGCGGAUGGACUGAAGCACUUCAAAUGCCUUUGAAGCACUUUGGAGUUAGUAGUGCAGAUGCACGUGCUGUUUGACACGCUCUAAAAGCACCUGAGCAGGUGCAGUCGGGCACGUGGCACGUCCAGGACUGGGGCCACUUGGUGGCCGGGCUCCAUUUCCCUGCAGCCCUGGUGGUGGCAGCUUCUUUCGGCUCCUGGAAAAUGAAGCAUGAAGCCCUGGCCCCAGCCCACCCUGCCUCGGGGGCUGAGGUCCCUGCAGCACCCGCUCCAGACCCGCCUGCCCCAGCCACGAUGAGUGGCGGCGGUGGCUGGGCAGAGGCUGCUGCUGGGCAUUGGAAAAAAGUGGGACCUGGCAGCAGCGGGACCUGGCUUACUCCUCUACUUGGACUCGGACCAAUGGCCAGGUUUGGAAAUAAUGGGAUAUGGGUUAAUAAUGAAGCAAGUGUCUGCUAUUGCAGGCCACUCCAAGCAUGGGAGGCAUGGAGGGAGGCAAAGCUAGUGGGACUUUGCAAGAGCGAGGAGGCCGUAAGCCUGGCCCGGGGCGGGCAGCACUUGACAGCCUGGAAAGGACUCGGAUUCAAACUCGUCUUCUUGGUUCAACACUUCUGAAAUCCUUGAAUGGCAACCAGGGAGAUGGAGGGGCGGUGGAAGAAUGUCACCUUUGGGUCUAAAGGGAGGGAUAGCUAUUGAGGGGCUUCUUGAGAAGAGUCACAAAGCUGUCGGUACGUGCAGUUUUCAGCCCAAAUUAAGAGUUCCCUGGAGCCGGAG